rnacentral:rRNA from 1 species
GGUUAAGCGACUAAGCGUACACGGUGGAUGCCCUGGCAGUCAGAGGCGAUGAAGGACGUGCUAAUCUGCGAAAAGCGUCGGUAAGGUGAUAUGAACCGUUAUAACCGGCGAUGUCCGAAUGGGGAAACCCAGUGUGAUUCGUCACACUAUCGUUAACUGAAUACAUAGGUUAACGAGGCGAACCGGGGGAACUGAAACAUCUAAGUACCCCGAGGAAAAGAAAUCAACCGAGAUUCCCCCAGUAGCGGCGAGCGAACGGGGAGCAGCCCAGAGUCUGAAUCAGCUUGUGUGUUAGUGGAACGGUCUGGAAAGUCCGACGGUACAGGGUGAUAGUCCCGUACACCAAAAUGCACAGGCUGUGAACUCGAAGAGUAGGGCGGGACACGUGGUAUCCUGUCUGAAUAUGGGGGGACCAUCCUCCAAGGCUAAAUACUCCUGACUGACCGAUAGUGAACCAGUACCGUGAGGGAAAGGCGAAAAGAACCCCGGCGAGGGGAGUGAAAAAGAACCUGAAACCGUGUACGUACAAGCAGUGGGAGCACCUUCGGGUGUGACUGCGUACCUUUUGUAUAAUGGGUCAGCGACUUAUAUUCUGUAGCAAGGUUAACCGUAUAGGGGAGCCGCAGGGAAACCGAGUCUUAACUGGGCGUUAAGUUGCAGGGUAUAGACCCGAAACCCGGUGAUCUAGCCAUGGGCAGGUUGAAGGUUGGGUAACACUAACUGGAGGACCGAACCGACUAAUGUUGAAAAAUUAGCGGAUGACUUGUGGCUGGGGGUGAAAGGCCAAUCAAACCGGGAGAUAGCUGGUUCUCCCCGAAAGCUAUUUAGGUAGCGCCUCGUGAAUUCAUCUUCGGGGGUAGAGCACUGUUUCGGCUAGGGGGUCAUCCCGACUUACCAACCCGAUGCAAACUACGAAUACCGAAGAAUGUUAUCACGGGAGACACACGGCGGGUGCUAACGUCCGUCGUGAAGAGGGAAACAACCCAGACCGCCAGCUAAGGUCCCAAAGUCAUGGUUAAGUGGGAAACGAUGUGGGAAGGCACAGACAGCCAGGAUGUUGGCUUAGAAGCAGCCAUCAUUUAAAGAAAGCGUAAUAGCUCACUGGUCGAGUCGGCCUGCGCGGAAGAUGUAACGGGGCUAAACCAUGCACCGAAGCUGCGGCAGCGACACUAUGUGUUGUUGGGUAGGGGAGCGUUCUGUAAGCCUGCGAAGGUGUGCUGUGAGGCAUGCUGGAGGUAUCAGAAGUGCGAAUGCUGACAUAAGUAACGAUAAAGCGGGUGAAAAGCCCGCUCGCCGGAAGACCAAGGGUUCCUGUCCAACGUUAAUCGGGGCAGGGUGAGUCGACCCCUAAGGCGAGGCCGAAAGGCGUAGUCGAUGGGAAACAGGUUAAUAUUCCUGUACUUGGUGUUACUGCGAAGGGGGGACGGAGAAGGCUAUGUUAGCCGGGCGACGGUUGUCCCGGUUUAAGCAUGUAGGCUGAUUGUCCAGGCAAAUCCGGAUAAUCAAGGCUGAGGUGUGAUGACGAGGCACUACGGUGCUGAAGUAACAAAUGCCCUGCUUCCAGGAAAAGCCUCUAAGCAUCAGGUAACAUUAAAUCGUACCCCAAACCGACACAGGUGGUCAGGUAGAGAAUACCAAGGCGCUUGAGAGAACUCGGGUGAAGGAACUAGGCAAAAUGGUGCCGUAACUUCGGGAGAAGGCACGCUGGUGUGUAGGUGAAGUCCCUGCGGAUGGAGCUGAGACCAGUCGAAGAUACCAGCUGGCUGCAACUGUUUAUUAAAAACACAGCACUGUGCAAACACGAAAGUGGACGUAUACGGUGUGACGCCUGCCCGGUGCCGGAAGGUUAAUUGAUGGGGUUAUCCGUAAGGAGAAGCUCUUGAUCGAAGCCCCGGUAAACGGCGGCCGUAACUAUAACGGUCCUAAGGUAGCGAAAUUCCUUGUCGGGUAAGUUCCGACCUGCACGAAUGGCGUAAUGAUGGCCAGGCUGUCUCCACCCGAGACUCAGUGAAAUUGAACUCGCUGUGAAGAUGCAGUGUACCCGCGGCAAGACGGAAAGACCCCGUGAACCUUUACUAUAGCUUGACACUGAACAUUGAGCCUUGAUGUGUAGGAUAGGUGGGAGGCUUUGAAGCGUGGACGCCAGUCUGCGUGGAGCCAACCUUGAAAUACCACCCUUUAAUGUUUGAUGUUCUAACGUUGGCCCCUGACCGGGGUUGCGGACAGUGUCUGGUGGGUAGUUUGACUGGGGCGGUCUCCUCCCAAAGCGUAACGGAGGAGCACGAAGGUUAGCUAAUCCUGGUCGGACAUCAGGAGGUUAGUGCAAUGGCAUAAGCUAGCUUGACUGCGAGCGUGACGGCGCGAGCAGGUGCGAAAGCAGGUCAUAGUGAUCCGGUGGUUCUGAAUGGAAGGGCCAUCGCUCAACGGAUAAAAGGUACUCCGGGGAUAACAGGCUGAUACCGCCCAAGAGUUCAUAUCGACGGCGGUGUUUGGCACCUCGAUGUCGGCUCAUCACAUCCUGGGGCUGAAGUAGGUCCCAAGGGUAUGGCUGUUCGCCAUUUAAAGUGGUACGCGAGCUGGGUUUAGAACGUCGUGAGACAGUUCGGUCCCUAUCUGCCGUGGGCGCUGGAGAAUUGAGGGGGGCUGCUCCUAGUACGAGAGGACCGGAGUGGACGCAUCACUGGUGUUCGGGUUGUCAUGCCAAUGGCACUGCCCGGUAGCUAAAUGCGGAAGAGAUAAGUGCUGAAAGCAUCUAAGCACGAAACUUGCCCCGAGAUGAGUUCUCCCUGAGACUUUAAGUCUCCUGAAGGAACGUUGAAGACGAUGACGUUGAUAGGCCGGGUGUGUAAGCGCAGCGAUGCGUUGAGCUAACCGGUACUAAUGAACCGUGAGGCUUAACCUU